rnacentral:rRNA from 1 species
UUGGCUUAGAAGCAGCCACUCAUUCAAAGAGUGCGUAAUAGCUCACUGGUCGAGUGAUCCUGCGCCGAAGAUUUCCGGGGCUAAAACUUACUACCGAAGCUACGGCAUCAGUAAUGAUGGGUAGGGGAGCUUCCCAUACGGGUUGAAGCAUGACCGUAAGGACAUGGGGACAGUAUGGGAGUGAGAAUGUUGGCAUGAGUAGCGAGAUGUGGGUGGGAAUCCCACAGGCCGUAAACCCAAGGUUUCCAGGGGAAGGUUCGUCC